GUCAACUUUUCCUCUACAUGGGUUUUGAUAAAUCUCCCCCACAGUCAAAAUGCCAUUCCACAGAUGCCCUGAACAAUGUACCAAACAGAGCUUUCACAAGGGGCAAAUCCUCAUUAAUCAUUCCUCACUGACAGCACAUGGCAAAACCUGCAUCUGGUGGAUUUACAUAGCCACUUGUUUCCUGGAGACUUCACAUAGAUAUAUCUUCAUUCGUGACAAAUUGGCAUCUUAAAGGCUUAAUGAAGAGAAAUCUAAAAAUGAUUACUUUAAGGAUGACACGGAAUUACAUGAGCAGAAU